AGCGAACGCUGGCGGCAGGCCUAACACAUGCAAGUCGAACGAACUCUUCGGAGUUAGUGGCGGACGGGUGAGUAACACGUGGGAACGUGCCUUUUGGUUCGGAAUAACUCAGGGAAACUUGUGCUAAUACCGAAUGUGCCCUUCGGGUGAAAGAUUUAUCGCCAUUAGAGCGGCCCGCGUCUGAUUAGCUUGUUGGUGAUGUAACGGCUCACCAAGGCGACGAUCAGUAGCUGGUCUGAGAGGAUGACCAGCCACACUGGGACUGAGACACGGCCCAGACUACUACGGGAGGCAGGAGUGGGGAAUCUUGCGCAAUGGGCGAAAGCCUGAAGCAGCCAUGCCGCGUGAAUGAUGAAGGUCUUAGGAUUGUAAAAUUCUUUCACCGGGGACGAUAAUGACGGUACCCAGAGAAGAAGCCCCGGCUAACUUCGUG
rnacentral:rRNA from 1 species